rnacentral:lncRNA from 1 species
UGGAAUUGAAAUUUUGUGGUAGUUGGAUGAGGAUUAGUGUGUCGAAUUUUGUGGGAUUUGGUUGGCAAUGAGGGUAGUGGGGAGUUGAGAGUAUUAUUUUGAAUGUAAUUUUAUUUUUAUUUUUAUUUUUUAUUUGUUUCCACAAAUUCUUUUUUUCCCCAUGUUUUUGGUUUCUCUGCAAAUUUUCUAUUUACGUUUGUUUUGGUCUCUUCCCCUUUUGCCUCUUUCUUCAACUUUGUCCUCUAAUUGCUUGACUGAGUCGUUGUGACUUGGAUCCCUUUUGGU